UGGCGAAAUAGUUUAGUUUGGUUAGAACGUUGGAAUCAUAAUCUAAAAGUCGUAGGUUCGAAUCCUACUUUCGCUAU
rnacentral:tRNA from 1 species